rnacentral:rRNA from 1 species
CCUACGGGAGGCAGCAGUAGGGAAUAUUGCUCAAUGGGGGAAACCCUGAAGCAGCAACGCCGCGUGGGGGAUGAAGGUUUUCGGAUUGUAAACUCCUUUUGUUAGGGAAGAUAAUGACGGUAUCUAAAGAAUAAGCACCGGCUAACUCCGUGCCAGCAGCCGCGGUAAUACGGAGGGUGCAAGCGUUACUCGGAAUCACUGGGAGUAAAGAGCGCGUAGGCGGGAUAGCAAGUCAGAUGUGAAAUCCUCUGGCUUAACCAUAGAACUGCAUUUGAAACUGUUAUUCUAGAGUAUGGGAGAGGUAGGUGGAAUUCUUGGUGUAGCGGUAAAAUCCGUAGAUAUCAAGAGGAAUACUCAUGGCGAAGGCGACCUGCUAGAACAUAACUGACGCUGAGGCGCGAAAGCGUGGGGAGCAAACAGGAUUAGAUACCCCGGUAGUC